AUUGAACGCUGGCGGCAGGCCUAACACAUGCAAGUCGAACGAGUGGCGGACGGGUGAGUAAUGUCUGGGCAACUGCCUGAUGGAGGGGGAUAACUACUGGACACGGUAGCUAAUACCGCAUACCAUCAGAUGUGCCCAGAUGGGAUUAGCUAGUUGGUGGGGUAACGGCUCACCAAGGCGACGAUCCCUAGCUGGUCUGAGAGGAUGAGCAGACACACUGGAACUGAGACACGGUCCAGACUCCUACGGGAGGCAGCAGUGGGGAAUAUUGCACAAUGGGCGAAAGCCUGAUGCAGCCAUGCCGCGUGUGUGAAGAAGGUCUUCGGAUUGUAAAGUACUUUCAGCGGGGAGGCGUUACCCACAGAAGAAGCACCGGCUAACUCCGUGCCAGCAGCCGCGGUAAUUC
rnacentral:rRNA from 1 species